rnacentral:lncRNA from 1 species
UCGGCCGCUUCCGGUGCUGCGCUGCGGCCCUCAGAGGACUUGGUGCUCGGCAAAGCCCAGAGACUCAAACACCAUGUCCCCGGGGGGGCUCCUCACGCUGUGUUAGGCAGUGAGGUGGGAGCGCCGGUUCAGCCGGAGACCGCUGGGGCAACCGCGCCGAACACGCUUUGGGCGGCCAUUUUGUAACUCGAAUCUACCCCCAAAACCAAUUCGAAAAAAAGGGAGGAAAGAAACGCCCCGACAGUGUUCUGAACUGGGUUGAACAGACAAAGGAUGUUAAAAUUUUCCACUUGUAUACAGGUCCCUCCAAGACUUCGCUUCUCACCAUGAUUCUGACAUUGAUAUGAAAACACACAAGAUUUCACUUCUCACUGUGAUUCUGACACUGAUAUGAUCACUGA